rnacentral:rRNA from 1 species
UGGGGAAUAUUGGACAAUGGGGGCAACCCUGAUCCAGCAAUGCCGCGUGAGUGAUGAAGGCCUUAGGGUUGUAAAGCUCUUUUGCCCGGGAAGAUAAUGACUGUACCGGGAGAAUAAGCCCCGGCUAACUCCGUGCCAGCAGCCGCGGUAAUACGGAGGGGGCUAGCGUUGUUCGGAAUUACUGGGCGUAAAGCGCACGUAGGCGGCUUUGCAAGUCAGAGGUGAAAGCCCGGGGCUCAACCCCGGAAUUGCCUUUGAGACUGCAGGGCUAGCAGGUGAGAGAGGUGAGUGGAAUUCCGAGUGUAGAGGUGAAAUUCGUAGAUAUUCGGAAGAACACCAGUGGCGAAGGCGGCUCACUGGCUCAUACUGGACGCUGAGGUGCGAAAGCGUGGGGAGCAAACAGGAUUAGAUACCCCCGUAGUCC